rnacentral:rRNA from 1 species
GACGAACGCUGGCGGCGUGCUUAACACAUGCAAGUCGAGCGGUAAGGCCCUUUCGGGGGUACACGAGCGGCGAACGGGUGAGUAACACGUGGGUGACCUGCCCUCAGCUCUGGGAUAAGCCUGGGAAACCGGGUCUAAUACUGGAUAUGACUCCAUGACGCAUGUUGGUGGGGUGGAAAGCCUUGUGCGGCUGAGGAUGGGCCCGCGGCCUAUCAGCUUGUUGGUGGGGUGAGGCCUACCAAGGCGACGACGGGUAGCCGGCCUGAGAGGGCGACCGGCCACACUGGGACUGAGACACGGCCCAGACUCCUACGGGAAGCAGCAGUGGGAAUCUUGCGCAAUGGGCGAAAGCCUGACGCAGCGACGCCGCGUGAGGGAUGACGGCCU